UAUCUUUGCAGUCUAGUUUAAUAAGUUAUUUCAGAUAAUAGCACAGAGUCAUAUGUGAACACUUUGUGAAUCUACUCAGGUUAUAAUUACACCAGAGCGUUCUGGCUAAAGGCCUUCAUCUAGGUUUCGAAUGAGGAGGGCAAAACAACCACCAAUCAAACACGGCCCCGUACAUACCAGCGAGACGACAUCAGGUGAUAGAUCAGUUUCACGCCGUCCUUAUUUAAAGUGUUGUUUGUUGUGUGCUUUAUGGUGCCUCUUAGAAAGGCCACACUCCAAAAUGUGCUAGCCUAAUAAUAAAUCUACUGGAUGCAUGCAUGCACGCUGGAGGUCUGACCCCGUCACACUUAUGGCUUCUGUGGGAUUGUCAGUGAAGGGGAUAUUGCACCAGCAAAGCCAUGGCAGAAAAGGCAAAAAUCAGAUUGAGUGGGACUCUUAAAAACUAAUUUAGAGAUGCGUUUUCUGUGGAAUGUUGCACAUUUGGACUGGUAGUCUGACAAACAGUUUAAAAAGCAACCGCGCUGUCUGGAUUCCUGAGUGACAGCCUGAACACUGCUGUAAUUCCCAAGAUUCAACUCACAAACACACCUGGAUCGCUGAAAGUUAAGAGCUGUGGGGAUUAGUCUGCAUUCGGAUCUUGACACGCCUGGUGGGAGACACUCGCGCAGCCUGGAGGGUCUGGUUACAGCACGAGCCUGGGCCACAAAAGCAGGUCUGGAAUCUAAAUCAGGAGGCAGUAAUCCUUUGCCAUUGAGUGAAACGGAGGGACACUGGGAUGCAUGCUGUUGCAGGCAGUUGCAUCUUGGGAAAUUCAAAGCAAGAAGCCUUCACUUUAAUCCUGGACAGGCUAUUAGUUUUUGAUUUAGAUAAAAUCAAAAUUCUACAUCUGAGUUGAAAGAAAUAAAACAUGGAUUCUGUGAAA